UACGUAGGGUGCGAGCGUUGUCCGGAAUUAUUGGGCGUAAAGGGCUCGUAGGCGGUUUGUCGCGUCGGGAGUGAAAACCAGGUGCUUAACACCUGGCUUGCUUUCGAUACGGGCAGACUAGAGGUAUGCAGGGGAGAACGGAAUUCCUGGUGUAGCGGUGAAAUGCGCAGAUAUCAGGAAGAACACCCGUGGCGAAGGCGGCUCUCUGGGACGGUACUGACGCUGAGACGCGAAAGCGUGGGGAGCGAACAGG
rnacentral:rRNA from 1 species